rnacentral:lncRNA from 1 species
AUGUUGAGUCCCCAUGUGAUGUCCAACUACCUUAAAUCCCAUAUAACUGGACUGUGUCAACAUGUUUAUAAGAUGACAUUUUCAUUUGAUAAAGUAACCAUUACAAUUUUUGCUAAAGAUAAAAUCCCAACAUCCUCACCAGCACCCACCUCACAACAACACAACAUCAGCACUGCUGCAGGGAGUAUUACUGAAGGUUACCAGACAAACACAUCAAUCUCACUCCCACACACCAUCUUACAACAACACAACACCAGCACCACUGCAGGUAAAUGUGUGUGUAUACUAAUUUAUCAGCUUUAAUUUAAAUUAUUCAUUUAAUUUAUUAUUAUUUAAUUGAUUGUUAUUUAAAUGAAUGCAUACAGUUUUUGUCACGCCCCCGGGCUGAUCUGUCUGUUUUUCCCCAUAGUGUGUGUUGUUUACACUUACCAUGUGCUUCUGUGUCACCGUGGUGCCCGUCUCCGCCCUCUUGUUUCAUUAUUAUCUUGUUAUUGGUCACCAUCACCUGCUCUGCAUUAUGAUAAUCACUCCUUCUCUAUUUAGUCUCCUCAUGUGUGCUGUCUGUUGUCAGAUCGUCGAGUUGUUUUCGUCCAUGUCUCAACUUUAUCCACAUCUCUUGUUUAGCCUACACAGAGAUCGUGCCCGUUUUGUUUUCAUCCUCUAGUUUGUUUGUUUUUUCCCACUUCCUCCUGCUUUCAGGCAGCGCUACUCUCCAGCCUUCCGUGUUAGAGCUCACCGAUCGCUGUCACUCCUCUUCUUCGCCGCGCCACAGCGCGCCUCCAGUUCCCCGCCUCAACAGCGCCCCCGCCUCCCUGUCAGUUUGUCCGGGCAUUGCAUCAGAGGAUUUCCUAGUGGAAUUCGUCCAGGAGGCUCUUUUGGAUCUGCUCCAGACUGCCCUGUUCCUGGAUAGUUUUUUGUUAAUUCUCAUUUUUUUUUUUUCUCUGUCCUUUGGAAUUAAGCCAUCUAAUAAACUGACCUUUUGAGCAUCUGCAACUGAGUCCCAGUCUCGCCCCUU